rnacentral:misc_RNA from 1 species
AGGGGAUUGAUUUUCACAAGGAAGCCUACUUUAUGACCCCUGCCUAUUUGAAGAUGAUGUGGAGAAGGAUUGACUUCUUGCGUUCUGUUCUUGAGAUGGGUUAUAAUUUUGUUUUCACGGAUGCUGAUAUCAUGUGGUUCAGGGACCCAUUUCCGCGGUUUUAUUCAGAUGCAGAUUUCCAGAUUGCAUGUGAUCAUUUUACAGGCA